rnacentral:rRNA from 1 species
UACGUAGGGUGCGAGCGUUAAUCGGAAUUACUGGGCGUAAAGCGUGCGCAGGCGGUCUGUUAAGACCGAUGUGAAAUCCCCGGGCUUAACCUGGGAACUGCAUUGGUGACUGGCAGGCUUUGAGUGUGGCAGAGGGAGGUAGAAUUCCACGUGUAGCAGUGAAAUGCGUAGAGAUGUGGAGGAAUACCGAUGGCGAAGGCAGCCUCCUGGGCCAACACUGACGCUCAUGCACGAAAGCGUGGGAGCGAACAGG